AUUGAACGCUGGCGGCAGGCCUAACACAUGCAAGUCGAGCGGAAACGAGUUAUCUGAACCUUCGGGGAACGAUAACGGCGUCGAGCGGCGGACGGGUGAGUAAUGCCUAGGAAAUUGCCCUGAUGUGGGGGAUAACCAUUGGAAACGAUGGCUAAUACCGCAUAAUGCCUACGGGCCAAAGAGGGGGACCUUCGGGCCUCUCGCGUCAGGAUAUGCCUAGGUGGGAUUAGCUAGUUGGUGAGGUAAUGGCUCACCAAGGCGACGAUCCCUAGCUGGUCUGAGAGGAUGAUCAGCCACACUGGGAACUGAGACACGGGUCCAGACUCCUACGGGAGGCAGCAGUGGGGAAUAUUGCACAAUGGGCGCAAGCCUGAUGCAGCCAUGCCGCGUGUGUGAAGAAGGCCCCUCGGGGUCCGUAAAGCACUGUCGGGAGGGACGAAGACUUCGGUUUGACGGUACCUCGCAAGAAAGCACCGGCUAACUCCGUGCCAGCAGCC
rnacentral:rRNA from 1 species